GUUACGUUACGUUACGUUUGACCAAGUAGUAGUAGUUAGCUAUGAGAAUUUUGUCGUGGUAAGCCUGUUGACAGUUGCUAAUCGAAUUCGUAAUACCGAAUUCUUGGGGGUGAAAUGGGUAGUUGUCUAUUGAUAAAUGGAGUAGUACUACAUGGAGCAGGUAAAGGCUUUCCAGUUACUAAAUUGUCUUAUCAGUCCUAUGUUUGUGCGUGCUUUGCUCCGAAAUUCUGGGUUUUUAGUUUGACGCAAACUAGUACUGAGGCCGGUCUCGUCAACAAUUAGGCACAGUUUGUGUAACGAACCGCUACACUGAUAAAAAAUACAACAGGCCAGAUGUUAACUCGAGAUCUAAGCGCAACCAAGAUAAUUGUCCGGCUUGGCUCGUCGACGACGGGUGUGAUGAUCUUGCUCAGAUCUCGGAAUGCCUUUUCAUAAUUUCAAUAAAAGAUAAUUGCGUGCGACAAUAAGCUACAACCGGGAUAGAGAUACCCACUAAUAAAUAACUGCUGCCAAAAGACAAAUACUUUCACUUCGGCUGAACCCUACUUCCUCGGAUGUUAUGGAGGCACUUUCUUGCCCACCCCUCAGCGCUAAAUAGCCUGAGCGACCCCUUGUGCAUAUGCUACCCUACAUCACCAAGCAAAGCUAGCUGCGGCCACUUCAAAAUUUCUUCAAAACAUUAUAAAAUUUUCAUUACACGCUAAAAGGAAAUAAAUAACUAAGACUAAACAAUAAACACAUAAUGUAAAUGUAGAUAUAAAUGGUAUACGAUAUAAUGAGUAAUUAUAAUAGAGUAUAAGAAGUUA